AAAAUUAUAAGAUGUUGAAAAUAAACUGAAGGAAUGUUGCACGAUAAUAGUUAUAUUUAUAGUAUGUGUUGACAAUGAAAAUAUAUAGUGACAAAAAGCAACUAUGAAUUCAGUAACACUGUUUACCUGACUUUGUAUUUUAUUAGUCACAAAACACACAUAUAUAUUUUUUAAAAUAGGAAUACUUUGUGAGCAAACUAUAUUAUUCAUUUAGUUAACAGAUAAUACUAGAUGCACCUGAGAAUUUAGUUGCAGUUUCUCUGAAGCUUCUGGUAUCAAACCUAACUGUGGUCUGUUCACCCGGCGCAGGAAGACCAGAUAUCCACACUGAGGUUUGCCGCAGGAGAAAGGCAAGUGUUUAUUUGCAGAGUGCCAAGCAAUGAGAAUCAGGCAGUUCAUGCUUAAGACUCAGACUUCCAGAGGGCUUACUGUAAGAUUCUCCCAGGGCCUGAAAGCUUAAGAUGAGUAACUCCUCCCUUCUCAGGCCCAGUCCCAAGGCGCAACUUGCGCCAGCAGCUGCGCCAGCAAGAUAGCAGAAGCAGGAAGAGAGCAGGCGGAAGACACCUACCCUGGCCGGAAGACACGAAGAUCGAGAAAAAGGCCAUCCGGGUACCACGUAGCAGUUACAUUGGACUAUGACACUGCCUGUUUACAGGAGACUGUAAGACCUUUGCCCCGUCCUCACUUGGGGCCGGCCUGCACCCAGGCCCUCAUUAGAACAGCAUGUUGCUCCACACGGCCUCGUGUUGUCUGUUGGCUGCUCUCAGGGUCGAAAUGAUACAAGAACCUUACACUUACAGUGUGGCCCAGGGAAGCCAAUGUGGAUACCCCUGAUUUAGAUGAUAGUCCGCUUCUGCCACUUCGUUGAGCUUCAUUUAUCUGAUCUGCCACAUGCAAAGGUUAGGGGACAUCCUCUUCAGCUGCAAUGUAGUCUUCUGGGAUCUAAUUAUGAUGUCUCUUGGAAUCUGGCCCACAUACAAGAAUUCAAGCUGGUUUUCCAGGGUGGAGACCAUGAAGAAAUCCCAAUCGGAUUCACUGGAAUUCAUUUAUUUGGCUAAUGAGAGACACCAGUAAGAAACUGAGGGCAAGAUGAAAAAGAAGUCCAGGAGGUUUACCCCAGUUCUCCCGACUUUACAGCAUUCUGGCAACAGAUGACCCUACUAUUCAGUAGCAUGACCUAUAAAAACAAACGAAAAGAAUGUGGAACAUAAAACUAAAGAAAAAUGUUGAUAGAAGUUCUCCAGAGAAAGGAAAGUUAAAAGAUCUAACUUCUAUGUGGUUACAAAGGGCAUAAUCAAGACCAUUGGCUAGAUGCUAUAGGAGGUGGCUGGGUACUGUGAAGAAGAUGCCUGUGAUGAUAUGCGGUUGAACAUUGUUUUCACAUUUAAUGAAGUAAUGGCUAGUGGACUGGGUCACCUGACGGUACCAGUCAACCUACAGGCUCAAACUGAUUUGUACUUUGGAGGGAAGGAGAAGUGGCUUUGGAAACUGCAACCUUUUCUAAAUCAAGAUUAUGCUCCGAGACACUGAAUCUGAAAAGAUGCAUCCAGUUUUGCCAAGUGGUUUCACUACCAAGGCCAGUCUCCACCUAUGACAGACCCAAGGAAGAUCAUUUACAACUAGAAUCUAGUCAUUUAGGAGCCUGUGUGCUCCCUGGGUGGGCCGUCUGCACUGGUGUGAGGUUUAUCUCUUUGAAGGGAAAACCAAAGGAAUCUUCUUGAAUAUCAGCACCAGGAAGAGCAGUACAAACUGGAGAAGUUGGGGUAUGUAGGCAGUGGCUUCAACCCAUGCAUUAUAUGUAUUCAAUUACUCAGAAGACCCUGUACUCCACUUAUUUUGGUUGAAUAAGCAGACUGUAAAACCAACAAAAAAUGGAAAUUGCUUUUAGAUCGCUAGUGUAUGGGCUUAUUCAUGUCAUACCUCUCAUCCUUCAGAACCAAUUAUCUAGUGUUGAUUAUACCACUAUGUGUCAACAUUAUUAAAUUUAAAAUGGUUGUAGCUGGGCAUGGUGGCUUGCACUUGUCAUCGUAGUUACUUGGAAGGCUGAGCC